CCAUUCACAGCAUCCAAAGACAACAGAGUUGCUGGAUCACUGCCAGGCCCCAGGCAUUGAAGCCUUGCUUGCUGCAAUUCUCUUUGGCUAAGUUAGGCACAUACUAAAAUGGAUACAAGGAUCCCAUAGCAAUUGCCUUGUAAGACACUUAAAGGCAACUGAUCACAAGGUGGACAAGGGAAAGCUUUCAAGAACCCUGAAAUUGAAUUUGGAGUCACUAAUACAGCUAGGGAAUGAUAGCGUGGAAUGUCUCAAGGUCGCUUGCAACAGAGAAAGGGGGCCUUAUUUCAAAGAAAUUGCCCUGUCUGCCAGGAUAAAAAUGAGACACACACAGCAAAGAGAAAAGAGCAGCUGCUACAGAGCAUUACCAAGGGAGAGACUGCAAAACAAAUCAUCAGUGGGAAGGAGAAUGAGGAACACCACGAAUUUCUUCCAUCACUGGACAAGAAGCGCUCUCUCCUCUAAUUCAUAGGAUAAAAAGAAAGCUGGCUCCAAAUGGCCAUUUAAGCCCAGUAGGGCCCUUUGCAAGAAUGCGAAAGAGAGAAGAUAACAUGAUUUUCUCCACUGUGUCAAGAUGCAAUGGCUACAUAUACCUCCUGCAGCUGAAUUAUAAAGGCUGGAGCGUGCUUGCGACCAUUUGGACCACAUGGUUCCCGCUGUCAAAAGGUACCCCCCAGAGACAUCAUUUUCCACUGCCUAUGGAUCAGACGUCCAACAGAUUCCAGGAGGCACAAUGUUAAUAGACUGAAAUUGUCUUUGCUUCUGGAGGCAAAAGUGAAGAUAGGCAGGGC
rnacentral:lncRNA from 1 species